UUGACUACAGCCAAGAGCAGGAUUUCUUGUCCUUAGUGAUUUGAGUGACAAAAAUUUCCAAGUGAGUUUUCAGAAACAUAGUUGGGUAGGUAAAGGUCAACAUUUGAAUUUAUGAAGGGUAGUGAUAUGUAGAGUAGUAGUGGCCGCAGUGCUUGAGAACAUCUUAGAAAUGCAGAAACUCGGCCACACCUCAGACCAAGCAAAUCAGGAUCUGCUUUCCAGCAAAAUCUCCAACUAAAUCAAAAGCACUUUGAAAUUUAAAAAGCACUGGUUUAUAGAACUGGAUAAAUAAUGAUUAGGAUAAAGAAGCACAGGAAUCCCGUGACCUAAAAGGGUUGUCAGUUUGCAAUAUUUUCUUUUCUGUGCCUUUUGAAAAAUGAUACAUGUGACUUUCCUGAAUCUGAGUGAGCAUAACAGCAGAUGCAAAGAGAUUGAGAUGGUGCUACAAAGCUGCCAGAAAGAUUUUUUCUUUUCUUUAUUGAAUGACUAUUAUUCUUGUUUGAUUUUUCCUGUAUCAAUAAGAAAUCAAUUCAAUUCUGAUUACUGAUAAGCAGAUAAAAGUCAUAUUUUAUUGUAUCUCCUUGAUUAAGAUUUCAGAAUCCUACAUCUCAGGAUUAUUUCAAACUAUAAAGAUUACCUUG
rnacentral:lncRNA from 10 species